rnacentral:rRNA from 1 species
AGCGAACGCUGGCGGCAGGCCUAACACAUGCAAGUCGAGCGCCGUAGCAAUACGGAGCGGCAGACGGGAUAGUAAAACGUGGGAACGUGCCCUUUGGUUCGGAAUAACUCAGGGAAACUUGAGCUAAUACCGGAUAAGACCUUACGGGGAAAGAUUUAUUGCCAUUGGAGCGGCCCGCGUCGGAUUAGCUAGUUGGUGAGGUAAUGGGUCACCAAGGCGACGAUCCGUAGCUGGUCUGAGAGGAUGACCAGCAUCACUGGGACUGAGACACGGCCCAGACUCCUACGGGGGGCAGCAGUGGGGAAUAUUGGAAAAUGGGCGCAAGCCUGAUCCAGCCAUGCCGCGUGGAUGAUGAAGGCCCUAGGGUUGUAAAGUCCUUUUAACGGGGAAGAUAAUGACGGUACCCGUAGAAUAAGCCCCGGCUAACUUCGUGCCAGCAGCCGCCGUAA